rnacentral:rRNA from 1 species
CCUACGGGUGGCAGCAGUGAGGAAUAUUGGUCAAUGGCCGAGAGGCUGAACCAGCCAAGUCGCGUGAGGGAAGACGUCCCUACGUGUUGUAAACCUCUUUUGUCGGGGAGCAAAGCGAGUCACGUGUGCCUCAUUGCGAGUCCCCGAAGAAAAAGCAUCGGCUAACUCCGUGCCAGCAGCCGCGGUAAUACGGAGGAUUCGAGCGUUAUCCGGAUUUAUUGGGUUUAAAGGGUGCGCAGGCGGAGGUGCAAGUCAGCGGUCAAAUGGCGGGGCUCAACCUCGUAAUGCCGUGGAAACUGCAUCACUUGAGUGCGCGAGAAGUAUGCGGAAUGCGUGGUGUAGCGGUGAAAUGCAUAGAUAUCACGCAGAACUCCGAUUGCGAAGGCAGCAUACCGGCGCGCAACUGACGCUCAUGCACGAAAGCGUGGGUAUCGAACAGGAUUAGAUACCCUGGUAGUC